CUACGGGGGGCAGCAGUGGGGAAUAUUGCACAAUGGGGGAAACCCUGAUGCAGCAACGCCGCGUGGAGGAUGACGCAUUUCGGUGUGUAAACUCCUUUUAUAUAGGAAGAUAAUGACGGUACUAUAUGAAUAAGCACCGGCUAACUCCGUGCCAGCAGCCGCGGUAGAUACGGAGGGUGCAAGCGUUACUCGGAAUCACUGGGCGUAAAGCGCGCGCAGGCGGCCCCUUAAGUUGGAUGUGAAAGCCUACGGCUUAACCGUAGAACUGCAUCCAAAACUGAGGGGCUAGAGUCUGGGAGGGGAAGAUGGAAUUAGUUGUGUAGAGGUAAAAUCCGUAGAGAUAACUAGGAAUACCAAAAGCGAAGGCGAUCUUCUGGAACAGUACUGACGCUGAGGCGCGAAAGCGUGGGGAGCAAACAGGAUUAGAUACCCUCGUAGUC
rnacentral:rRNA from 1 species